rnacentral:rRNA from 1 species
AGGACGAACGCUGGCGGCGUGCUUAACACAUGCAAGUCGAGCGGAAAGGCCCUUCGGGGUACUCGAGCGGCGAACGGGUGAGUAAUACGUGAGCAACCUGCCCUUAGCUCUGGGAUAGCUCCGGGAAACCGGAAUUAAUACCGGAUAUGACCUAGGCCGACAUCGGCCGUGGUGGAAAGUUUUUCGGCUAGGGAUGGACUCGCGGCCUAUCAGCUAGUUGGUGGGGUAAUGGCCUACCAAGGCGACGACGGGUAGCCGGCCUGAGAGGGCGACCGGCCACACUGGGACUGAGACACGGCCCAGACUCCUACGGGAGGCAGCAGUGGGGAAUCUUGCGCAAUGGGCGAAAGCCUGACGCAGCGACGCCGCGUGGGGGAUGAAGGCCUUCGGGUUGUAAACCCCUUUCAGCAGGGACGAAGCGAAAGUGACGGUACCUGACAGAAGAGCGCCGGCUAACUACGCGCCAGCAGCCGC